UACGGGGGGGGCAAGCGUUGUUCGGAAUUAUUGGGCGUAAAGGGCGCGUAGGCGGCCAUGCGUGUCUUCCGUGAAAUCCCUCGGCUUAACUGAGGACGUGCGGAAGAAACUGCAAGGCUCGAGUCCGGGAGAGGGGGGUGGAAUUCCCAGUGUAGCGGUGAAGUGCGUAGAUAUUGGGAGGAACACCGGUGGCGAAGGCGGCCCCCUGGACCGGUACUGACGCUGAGGCGCGAAAGCGUGGGUAGCAAACGGG
rnacentral:rRNA from 1 species